rnacentral:piRNA from 1 species
UGAUGUAGGACUCAAGUGACUACCAGUCC